ACGGUUUUGUCCCAUCACCACCACCAACGAGAACAACGAAAUGCACAAGAUUUUUAUUUUAUUUUAUUUUUGUUGGUCAAAUUCAGCUUUCAAUAAAAGAGCCAAAAGGUGGGGAGGCACAACAGAGGAACAAAAAGCAGAAAGCAACAGUAGUACACCAAGGCUAAACACGUAGCUCAGAAAACUACAAACCAUGACACAAGCAAAGCAAAAGCACUAACUUGGUGGCCCAGGCAGGCCAUCUAGCUCGGUGGUUUAGUUAUUUUCUUUAAUUUAUUUAUAGAUUUUGUUUGCUUUGCUCCUUCCUGGAAUUCGCAUUUAGAUCGGC
rnacentral:lncRNA from 1 species